UUCCGUAGGUGAACCUGCGGAAGGAUCAUUACCGAGUUCUCGGGCUUCGGCUCGAAUCUCCCACCCUUUGUGAACAUACCUCUGUUGCUUUGGCGGCUCUUUGCCGCGAGGAGCCACAACUUCUCGCGCGCUUUCCGCCAGAGGACCUUCAAACUCCAGUCAGUGAACGUCGACGUCUGAUAAACAAGUUAAUAAACUAAAACUUUCAACAACGGAUCUCUUGGUUCUGGCAUCGAUGAAGAACGCAGCGAAAUGCGAUAAGUAAUGUGAAUUGCAGAAUUCAGUGAAUCAUCGAAUCUUUGAACGCACAUUGCGCCCCCUGGCAUUCCGGGGGGCAUGCCUGUUCGAGCGUCAUUACAACCCUCAAGCUCUGCUUGGUAUUGGGUGCCGUCCUCUCUGCGGACGCGCCUUAAAGACCUCGGCGGUGGCUGUUCAGCCCUCAAGCGUAGUAGAAUACACCUCGCUUUGGAGUGGUUGGCGUCGCCCGCCGGACGAACCUUCUGAACUUUUCUCAAGGUUGACCUCGGAUCAGGUAGGGAUACCCGCUGAACUUAAGCAUAUCAAUAAGCGGAGGAAGGAUCAUUACCGAGUUCUCGGGCUUCGGCUCGAAUCUCCCACCCUUUGUGAACAUACCUCUGUUGCUUUGGCGGCUCUUUGCCGCGAGGAGCCACAACUUCUCGCGCGCUUUCGC
rnacentral:rRNA from 1 species